rnacentral:tRNA from 1 species
AGCCGGAAUAGCUCAGUUGGUAGAGCAGAGGACUGAAAAUCCUCGUGUCACCAGUUAAAAUA